rnacentral:snRNA from 1 species
CGCUGACACAGCUCUUUUAGAAUUGUUUUCUAACAGGUUUUCUUACUUUUGUUGGAAAACCAAC